rnacentral:tRNA from 1 species
GGCCUUGUAGCUCAGAUGGUUAGAGCGUGGCCUGUACUCAAACCUUGCAUUUACUGUCGUGAGUUCGAAUCCCACCGAGGCUG